rnacentral:rRNA from 1 species
UGGGGAAUAUUGCACAAUGGGCGCAAGCCUGAUGCAGCCAUGCCGCGUGUAUGAAGAAGGCCUUCGGGUUGUAAAGUACUUUCAGCGAGGAGGAAGGCGUUGUGGUUAAUAACCGCAGCGAUUGACGUUACUCGCAGAAGAAGCACCGGCUAACUCCGUGCCAGCAGCCGCGGUAAUACGAAGGGUGCAAGCGUUAAUCGGAAUUACUGGGCGUAAAGCGCACGCAGGCGGUCUGUCAAGUCGGAUGUGAAAUCCCCGGGCUCAACCUGGGAACUGCAUCCGAAACUGGCAGGCUAGAGUCUUGUAGAGGGGGGUAGAAUUCCAGGUGUAGCGGUGAAAUGCGUAGAGAUCUGGAGGAAUACCGGUGGCGAAGGCGGCCCCCUGGACAAAGACUGACGCUCAGGUGCGAAAGCGUGGGGAGCAAACA